CGAUCCGUAACUGUCUUAUCUGUGGAUGAGUAAGCUGUUUUAGAUGACUGGAGAGGGUGAAUCAGUCAGAACACUGACACUGGCUCUAGUUUCAGUUGUGAAAGGGUCAAGAGGUUUCCACAGGCUCCUGUUUUCCUGUAGUAGCGUGCCAUCAUCUGCCAUGCUGUUUAUAAAUCAGGAGAAACAUAAUCUUGUUUAUAUAUAAAAACAGCUCAAUAUUAGGUUGUUUUGUGUGGAGCCCCUAAAAAGGACGUGAUGGUAAAUCCAUAAAUAAAUACAUUAAAAAAAGAAGAUGGUGAGAAAGAAUUUGUGAUGCAGGCAAUAUGUGGUUAGAGAGUUUUAUUCAAAUUAAAUCUUCUUUUCUUAUUUCAGUGCUUUUGUGAACAAAAGAGAAGUUUGUCAUAGUAUGCAAAUGUUUUGCGAGAGAAUGCAAAGUUUCUUUUGCAGUACUUUUGUUUGAGAAUUGUAAAAACUUUUGAGAAAGUGAGAGAGAGCAGCAUUUCUCGGAUGAAUGCAGUAUUUCUUGGGGGAAUGCAACAUUGAGAGAAUUGUGAAAUAUAUUGAGAGAUCAUAAAUGUUUUGCAAAACAAAUGCAAUGUUUUUUGUGAGAACACACGUUUUGUGUGAGAAUAAAAGUUUUUGGUUAAACGCAAGAGUUUUGUGAGUUUAUCUGGGGAAUGCAAUACUUUUGUGAAAAAAAGUGAUUUGCUUAAGGGGGCAAUGUUUUGUAGGAAAAGCUGCAGAGAGGAUGCAAAGUUUCUUGAGGAAACAUACUACUUUGCAAAAAAAAAAAACCUGCAAAAGCACUUUUUCUCCUAUCUCAUAUUUUUGUUCCAUCACCCUCUGCAUUUUUCUUUAGUUUUUAUAUUAAUUGAUCUCUUCAUAUGGUCUUGAUUUUUCCAAUUCUUGGCUUCAUUUUGUCUGAAUUCAAGCCCUUGAAAUUCCUUGUAAAUUCCAUCAAUGUGAAAUCUUAAAAAACAUGACAUCUCUGAUCGAACCUCUCAAGGUGACAGAGAAGUCGGUGCUCAAAUUUCUUUCCAUUCAUUUUCUAAGCAGCUCUUUCUGGAAACCGGGUGUCUCCAGGGCCCCUUUGACACCUGGUGGGGAGGCAUCUGACAUGGCUUUAGCACUCAAAGCUUCUCAGAUAUCACACAGCAAUUCCUGAGCCAAACAUAGCCCCUCCCCAGGACCUGCUGACGUAAAACCCCCCAUACCAGUUACAUUUACUGAGACCGGCUCAUUCCAUUCUUAGUGUGACCUCCACUUGGUAGAAGUUCAUAGAGCAAUCAAUGGAGAGGAUGAGAUGGACGGAUCAACUUGUUAAUAGGGGAUUUAAAAUGUCUCAUUUUUGUCCGGCUUCUGUCUCAUAUGAGUUUUCCACUUGGCUUAUUGUUGGAUUAUCAGUGCCUUUUUGAUCCAGCUACAGGUGAAUCUCUGUUAGUUUGUCCACAAGUCUAGUUGGUUUUAGUCAAGACCAUGAGUUCUUCUAACUCUAGCGCAGGUAUUGACCUUCUCCAGGUCAGGAUUGAGUCCUUGAGCAGCAAAAUGGACAGGCUCAUAAGCAUCCAGGAAAAAGUGCUCAGCCGACUCGACGGCAUGUCUCAGGACAUUGACGGCAUUGAGAAAGACGUUGAAACUCUGAAAGUGGAAAAGGAGGAGAUCCAUAUUCCUCCGGUUAUCCGUACAGGACCAGCCAAUGAGAUGAAGGAGAUGUGUCAAGAAAUGAACAGCAUAAUGUUGGCAGUAAAUCAGCGCUCGGAGCAGCAAACCCAAAAAUUGGAGGGGAUGGAAAGACUGGUCAUGAGCAUUCAACAGGUGGUCAGUUUUAUUGGAGAAACUGUGAAAACUUCCAAAAUUAUGGAUAUUAUGUUCAAAGGGCCGGCAUCUCGGAAGAACAAAGCAGCUUCGGCCCUCAGGUCCAAGGAGUGUAAAAUCAAAGUGAUCAGCAAGUGUCAGGCCUCAGAUAACAAUGAGCCUGCCACUAUAAAGAGAUGGAAGAUACGGUGCCAUUUUGAGGGUCUUCAAAAGCUACGAGAUCACAAAGUCAAAGAUGGGAAGUUUCGUCUGAGCCUUAAAGGCCUCAAAGCACAGAAGAAGAAGAAACCACCCGAUUCAACAGAUUCAGUAUUUUUGAAGAAGCAGGCACUGUUGCUUGAAGAGGUUCAGAAACUAAAUCAGGAGAAUGCAGAACGCUCUGAAGCUUCCCAACAUCUGGAGAAAAAUGUGCAGGAAUCAGAGGAUGGCUUGGUUACUCCAAUUCAGCAGGACCUUAUCCUUGAGGAAGCCAAGCCACUUGAACCUGAACAGGAGAUAAGUUUAAAAAAAGAAAAGAAGGUAACUCUGGAGCUGAAAGAAGAUGAGAUGAAAGCCACAGAGCCAAAGAUAGAGGAAGUCCAAGCUGAAACACCUAAAUUAGUGGAGGAAGAGAGUAAGGAGCUGCCAUUAGAGACUACAGACAUACUGAAAGAUCAGGAGGAAGAGGGUACGAAGGACCAGACGGUUACCAAUGAUCCUUCAGAACCUGACCUAACUGAUACAGAGCCUGCUACGCCAACUGAGAACUCAGUGCAAAGCAUUGAGUCCGAGCAGACGGAUGAGGUGACCACCAGCAGCAAACGACGUGUGACACAAGAAGAUCUGGGUUUGGAGGACCACAAGAAAAGCAGGGUUGAGGAGGGGAAAGAAAAGAGCGAGGAGGAGUCACAGGAACCUGAAGAUCUUCGUGGCGUUUUCAAAGCCGAUGGUGUGGAAAUCGAGUUGGAUUUCAGCAAACUAAAGAAAGAGAGCUAUGAGGAUGAAGAUGAAGAUCACAGUGAUCACUUCUUCAUUGAUUGCACUCCACCUUCACCAGCACCCUUCAACCACCGCGUGGUGUCUGCCAAACCCAACCAGAUUAACAACUUCUACACUAUCAACCGGCAGGAGGUUCUCGGAGGGGGCCGAUACGGUCAGGUGCAUAAAUGCAUUGAAAAUUCCUCUGGACUCACUUUGGCUGCAAAGAUAAUCAAAGCUAGGAGUCAAAAAGAAAAGGAGGUGGUGAAGAAUGAGAUUCAGGUUAUGAACCAGCUCGACCACGCUAACCUGAUCCAGCUCUACGCCGCCUACGAGUCCAGGAACGACAUCAUCCUUGUACUUGAAUAUGUUGAUGGAGGUGAACUCUUCGACAGAAUCAUCGAUGAGAACUAUAAGCUGACGGAGCUCGACACGGUGAUGUUCAUCAGGCAGAUCUGUGAAGGCUUGCGCUACAUGCACAAGAUGUACAUCCUCCAUCUGGACCUAAAGCCAGAGAACAUUCUGUGUGUCAGCAGGCUCACAAAUAAAGUCAAGAUCAUCGACUUCGGCCUCGCCAGGAAGUAUCAGCCCAGGGAGAAGUUACGGGUGAACUUCGGGACGCCGGAGUUUCUCUCUCCUGAGGUGGUCAACUACGAUUUCGUCUCGUUCAACACGGACAUGUGGAGUUUGGGCGUCAUCACCUACAUGCUUAUCGGUUCAUUCAACGUAAACCCGACACUGAUUUGUCUGAACGGUGUUUUCCAGACUCAGUGGUUUGUCGCCCUUCCUCGGCGACGACGACAAUGAGACACUAAACAACAUUUUGGCCUGUCAGUGGAACUUCGAGGAGGAUGAAUUCUCCGAAGUCUCAGAGGAAGCCAAAGAUUUCAUUUCCAAACUGCUCGUGGUGGAUAAAAGCUGGAGGAUAGGAGCCACCGAAGCGCUGAAGCACCCCUGGCUGUCGGAUCCAGCCGUUCACUUCCGCCUGCAUCAGAAG